GUUGCCUGUAAGUCCAGGGAUAGGACUCUCAGCUCCAUGCAUGCCACCAUGAUGAUAAUGGACUGAAGCUCAGAAAAUGUCCUCGGCUCCCAUUCACACCAUGGCAAGCGAGGGACACAGGACCCUGGAGGACCUGAUGGGCAGCAGUGCUGGUAGGAGUAGUUCCAGAUGGGCUCCUCAGGUACUGACAGAGACAUCUGCUCCGUUUAGCACUGAAGUUGAUCAAGUACUCUGGGCCUUGGAGUGCACAUCUGCAACUUCCCGAUGCUGGGUGGACAUCCCCAAACUUCUGGAAGGAGAGCUUAUCUGUGCAGCAUUCAGCACAAACAGUCAUGAUUGUCUGUAGUCACUCAGGCAGGGACCGUGCCCAGGUGCUGAACAUCAGAGUGACAGCUGAAGGAUUUGCAUUCUCACAGGGGACUGGACAGAGUGUUUUGGCCAUGGUGCUUCCUUGAAACUCAAGUUCCAGAUCCUUCUUGGGGCUGGGGCCAUUGCUUGCCACUAGGACACGAGACAUGGCUGGCUCUUUGUUUUGUUUAUGUGUGUGCUCAUGUUCAUGUGAGUGUGUCCAUGUGUGUCUGACAGUGUGCGUGCAUGUGAAUCUAUACGCAUGGAGAGGUUCAUGGCCAGUAUCUUCCUUGGUUACUCUCUAACUUACUGGUUUUUCGUUGUUGCUGCUGCUGCUGCUGUUUUGUUUUGUUUCUUUUUGUUUGUUUGUUUGGUUGUUUGGUUUGGUUUUUCCAGACAAGAGUUUCUCUGUGAAACAGUCCUGGCUGUCCUGGAACUCACUCUGUAGAUGAGGCUGGCCUCGAACUCACAGAGCUCCACCUGCUUCUGCCUCCCGAGUGCUGGGAUUAAAGGAGUGAGCCACCAACGCCCCUGCUGCUGCUUUGUGUGUGUGUGCGCGCGCGCGCGCGCGCACGUGUGUGUGUGUGUGUGCGCGUGCGUGUGUGUGUGUGUGUGCGUGUGCGUGUGUGUGUGUGUGUGUGUGUGUGUGUGUGUGUGUUUUGCCUGCAUUUAUAUGCAUCGUGAGGGUGACCGGUGUCUGUGGAGGUUAGAAUAGGAGUCACUGAUGGUUGUGAACAGCUGUGUGGGUGCUGGAAACCAAACCUGGGUCCUUUGCAAGAGCAACAGCUCUUUAAAAAAAUUUUUUUUUCCAAAGCUACACAGAGAAACCCUGUCUCGAAAAAUCAAAAAAAAAUUUUUUUUAAUUUCAUUUUACAUUCCCACCAAAGUUCUCCUUCCCACCCUUCCUCCUUGCUCCUCCUCCCCUCCCCUCAGCCCAUCCCCCACCCACUCCUCCCAACAGGUAAGGGCUCCCAUGGGGAGUCACACCGUUUGGCACAUUAAGUUGGGCAGGACCAAGUCUCUCCCUGCUGUGUUAAGGCUGAGCAUGGCAUUUCCUCAUAGGCAAUGGGCUCUAACAAGCUAGCUCAUGCAGCAGGAAUAGAUCCUGGUCCUACAGUCAGGGCUCCCUCAGAUAGCCCAAGCUUCACAACUGUCUCCCACAUACAGAGAGACACAUGGAUCGCUCUGGGAAGGGAAAUUAGAUGAGAUCUCCCAGGUAAGCUGGGGGCGAGGGGGUUGGUAAAGGGAGGGGAAGGGGCAUGAGAAUACGAGGGAAUGGGAUGGCUGAGGAGGGAAAAGACGGAGAGGGAGAGCAAGGAAAGAAAUGCUUGAUAAGAGAGCCACUCUGGGAUCAGGGAGAAACCUGGUGCCAGGGAAACCCCCAAGAAUCCACAAAGAUGACCCCAGCUAAGUCUCCAAGCGAUAGUGGAGAAGAUGCCCGAUCUGGCCUUCCCCUGUAAUCAAAUUGGUGAACACCCCAGCUGUCAUCAUGGAGCCUUUAUUCAGUAAUUGAUGGAACCAGAUGCAGAGAUCCACAACUAAGUACCAGGCUGAACUCUGGGAAUCCAGUCAGAGAAGAAGGAAGGAAUAUAUGAGCAAGGGAGGUCAAGAUCAUGAUGGGGAAAUCUACAGAGACAGCUGAACCAAGCUCGUGGAAACUUGUAAACUCUGGACUGAUGGCUAUGGAGGCUCCAUGGCGGGGGCAACAGCUCCAGUCUCACAGCUUAUUUUCUGAGACAAGGCCUCUCACUGGGCCAGGGGCUUAGUGACUUGGCUAGCUCCAUUGUUAGGGGUACAGGUGUACCCUGCCACAGGCUCUCAUACAGCUGCUAAGGACCUGAACUCAUGUCCUCAUGCUUGUAUGGAAACCAUUUUACUGACUGAGAUGUUGCACUUAGAAAUGUCCUCUUUUGGUCUCCAUGGGCACCUUAUGUACAGCCAGCCAGGCUGUCUCCACUCCACAGAGGAACAAACCCAGCUUCCCAGGGCGGGGUGGGCUGGGGAUUUGCCCAGUGCUCACUGGUGUGGGUGACUGGGUCUCCAGGGUCAUCCGCCUUCCCCUCUGCAUCAGAUGGAGGACUUGGCCUUGGGAGCAGACCAAGAACAGGUGGGCCCAGUCUCUGUCCUGAAGCAGGAGCAUGCCAUCUCUCCAGGCUUCCUAGCUGCCUCAUGCUACCCUCACAUCCGCACAGAGGCAGGUGAGGGUUCCUCACCAGCAAUGCCUGGGACGAGCAGAAUUUCAGAUUUUCUAUAUAUAUUUCACUGUUUUCAUAAGCUUUGCUAGUUGGCUGUCCCGAAUCCAAAAACCCCGGUUCUGAAACUUGUUGAUCAUUAGUUCUCAAACUCAGAGCAAACAGCUAACUAGUGAUUAUUGACAUAUCAAAGUGGGUGCUGGCCACCACUCUCUCAGCACCACCAAUACCUGGCAUAUCCUGCCCUCAACCUGAAACUCCAGUCCAGGGCCCCGGCUGUGCUUACUUUUCCCCAGCUCAUCAGCCAUUUUGGCUAUACCCUCUCUUGGCCCAGGUCCCCGUUCUUGGUCUCCCCCCUGCCCCCUCUCCUCACAUGGCCCAGCUCAGUCUAGACUCUCCCAGAUGCCUCUAUCUCUGCCUCUGGCUAUUUCCUCUCUUUUAUCUACAAUAAACGUCUCCUCCACCACACCUAGGAGCUGUCCUCUCUUUUCAUUCAUUGAGAAUGGUAGCAUGCUUGGUCUGCAUCAACACCAUUGGACAGAUGGGAAACCAAGGCUAAGAGAGCUCGGGCAAUUUGCCCAGAAUCACCAGCCCAUGUGUGACCAAGCCAGGACUUACACAUGUGCCUGUCUGCAGUGCCUUGGCCCUUGGCCAAGUUUCUUACCUCUUUACCCUUGAUGUAUGGGACUGGGUUGUGGAAAUGUAGGUCUAUUGAGUGGCAUCCCUGACCCACGGCAGUGGCUUCCCUCCCUGACCACAAUGUCUCCAGGGCCCUGGAGAAACCUUGCCGCUACUACUAGGACUCCAGGGCCCGGGCUGAAGAUGUAGCUGACAGCUACUCUGUAGCGGGCUUAGGGACAAAAGCAGAGUUGAAAGGACUGAACGGCAGCUUCAGAGAGUUUUGGCUCUGUGACCCUGAUAUCUGGUCCCCAGCAGAGGUAUUGGCUGAUGUCAGCCUGCUGAGAUGAACCCAAGAUGACUGCAGGGCCUUUGAUCUCAGGAAUAACUGGUGUGCCGUGGGUUGGGGAGGAGAGAAUACUGUUACCCCACCCCUGGUUGUCUAAGUGUCUCCUGCCUGGGAUGGAUUUGUCUGGUGGCCAUUAGGGAGCUGUCUGAUGGUUAUCUCCCAGACAGCUUGGUUCUCUCUGUCUGUGAAUCUAAACGGGGCUAAUGGCCACUUGAGAUUCAGAUUCCGCAGCUGCCUAGAGCCUUCCUAGUGUGAGAGAUUCAGUGGCUCCUCACCUAGGCUCGCACUCCCACCUCAGACAUAUGCUAGAGUCCUGGAUAUGGGUGCCAGUGCCCCGUCUGCCAUGACCCAGAUCGUCUUCCAAAUGCCUAACCCUUCCCAGUCCCAGACAACACCAGCAGGGGCUACAGCAGUGCAUCCCAGAGGCCUCCGCAUCCUUCACUUCAGUCCUUAAAAAUGUUCAUUUAGCCAGGCCUGUGAUCCCAGCUCCUGGGGAGGCUGAGGCAGGAGGAUCAUGAGUUCUAAGCCAUCCUGGAUAAUUUAGUGUCAAAGUAUACAGGUGAAAAGAGGGCUGGGAUGUAGCUCAGGGGUGAAGCGCUUGCUUAGCUUGGGCGAUGCAUUGGAUUUGAUUCUCAGCACUACAGAGGGGAAACAAAAGUUCAUCUGACCCUCCUUCCCUGAGUGCCUGUCCUGUCCUUAUCAGUGAGGGACAUUGGCCCCCGACAUUGCACUCUAUUCAUUGUCCCCGUGUGUGUGUGUGUGUGUGUGUGUGUGUGUGUGUGUGUGUGUGUGUGUGUGUGUAACAGCUUUGGCUCUCCUGGAACUUGCUUUGUAGACCAGGCUGACUUUGAACUCAGAGAUCCACCUGCCUCUGCCUCCCAAAUGUUUGGAUUAAAGGUGUGCGCCACCACACCUGGUGUGUGUGUGUGUGUGUGUGUGUGUGUGUGUGUGUGUGUGUAUGUCUGUGUGCGUGUGUGUUUGUGUGUGUGUGUGUAUGUGUGUGUGUCUGUGUCUCUCUCUGUGUGUGUGUGUGUGUCAGAGGAUCACUUGUAUAGAUUCUCUUCUACCAUGUGGAUCUAACUCAGGUCAUCAGACCCGGCAGCAGGUGCUCUUGUCCUCUGAGCCAUCUUGCUGGCUCUUGGAGGUGGUUUUCAUGACCCAAUAAUUUAAUUUUUCUGGCAUGCUGUUUUGUUUAAGACACAGUCUUAAUCUGUAGCCCAGGCUGCCCUUGAACUUGUGACAAUCUUUUUGCGCCAGCUUGUCAAAGGCUGGGAGUCUAGGCAUGCACCACCAUACCUGGCUUCUCCAACAUGCUUUGCAAAGAUCCUUUCCUAUAGACAGCGCCUCAGCACUCUCAGUUACAAACAUUAACAGAUCCCCCUCCUACCCCCAUGUGUGUUGUAUGGGAACACACAUGCCAUAGCACGUAUGUGGAGAUCAGAGGACAGCUUGCAAAAGUCAGUUCCCUCUUCCAUUAUGUACGUCCCAGGAAUCAAACUCUGCUCCUCAGGGUCAGCAACAAGCACUUUUUUUUUCCCACCAUCAUCUCACCAGCCCUUGAUGGGCCUAUGCUUAAAGUAACAUUUGCAAAUUAUUCCUUGUGUGGCUCAGGACAUGUCACACUGCAGAACCCCAAUUUCCUUCCUGGCAUCUGAGUGCCAGGAAGAUGCUCAUUUGGUGAAGUGCUUGAGGCUUGAGUUUGAUCCUGAGCAUCUAUUUAAAAUGCCAGGAGUGGUGGCUGCUUAUCCUAGCACUGUGGAAGUGGAGAAAAGUGGGUCCUAGGGACUUGCUGUCCAUCAAACCUAGCUGAUUCAGUGAGCCCCAGGCCCAGGGAGAGACUUUGUCUCAAAAACUACGGUGGACCUUUGACCACAUAGUGCACACACAUGUAAACCUGUACACACACAUGAACCUGCAUACACAUGAAUACCACUCCCUACCACAUACACAUAAAAAAAGAAGGCAUCUGAAGCCUGCUGUCAGAGAGACUUACUCCGGCUGGACAGGAUGGACAUGGAGCAAUGGCCCAGGGUAGAGGUACUUGGUUCCUUCGUAACAGGUCAGAUCCAUCUGCAUUGCCUUCCAAAUAAGAAUCCCCUUGAAGGGAAGCUUUGUGUCUUACUCAGGGCUGAAUCCUCAGCUCCUCUGGUCCUGGCAUAUAGUAGGUAGGUGUUCAAUAUAGUUUCUCACGGGAUGAAGAAGUAACAACAGGGACCACACUCUGCUCAUCUUAGUGCCAGAAGCCAGAUUUGUGUAAUAUCUACCCGCCAGUUUGAGUGUUUGUGAACAGAACAGCUUUGUAGAAAUGUGGUUGGGCUGUGUUUCCAGUUCAACUGAGAAAGAUAUUGUGAUGGGUAACUGUGUGACAGUUGGCUGGGCUGGGGGAUGCUUAGAUAGCGGGGAAGACACCAUCCUGAGACUGUCUGGGAGGACAUGGAUUGAGUAAAGGUCUAGCUUCAGCUACACAGGGGCUAUCCCUAACCCAGUGUGGGCUUGCACAGAGACAGAAAAUACCAAGGGAGGAUGAGCUGAGAUAGCCAUCUCCUGCUGUGGGAUGUUGGGGCUUCCAGUUCUGGGAUCUUCAGGCUCAGAUGGAGGCCUAUGAUUGCCUCCCCCCCUUUUCCUAUGCUCAGUGCUUCUGGAGUUAGCGAUGGUUUGCCUGGGGCUCCAGCCCAAGCCUCCACACUCACGUGAGUCAACCUCUCAGAAGAAAUCUUUCUAUUGGUUCUGUUUUCCUGGAGAACCUUGAUUAAGACAAAGACUUAUUCACUUAUCCCAAAUCCCUCCAAGUCUUUUGUGAAAUGAAGCUAUUAAUAACACCCACCGAGUAAGAUUAUUCUGAGGAGUAAAUGAAGAAUUUCCUAGAAAAUGUUCAGCUUGUGGCCUUCCUUGAGCCUCACUUUUCCUCUUCUGUAAAUGGGUAUUUACUCAUUCAUUCACUGAUGCGCUCAACAGACACAGGGUUCAAGGGCACGGCAUUGAGGUUGAGAUUCAGGGAAGUCACAGAGCCAGGCAGACUCCAGUUCUUGCCGUGAGGGUCUUUGCACACGCCGGAGUGCAGAGACCCAGCCGCUGGGAGAAGAGCCACAGUGUGCGAGGGUGUACAGGGACUAGAGGUCUGGAGGAGGAGGUGUGCCUCAGAGAGCUGACUAUGUUUAAAACACCCACAUUCUAUCAGUGUGAGCCUCAAGUGCCUCUGUGGCUCUACUUAGCCCGACUCUCAGGACACGGCCAGGGACCGGUUGCGAAGUCUCAUCCCAGUGAGCACCCUGUUCAGACAACUUUUUUCCCACCUCCUCCAGGGAGCACUCCCUCCCCCCAUCCCACUCAGUGCAGAACAAUGGUAGAGAAGCUAAAACUAGAAGUCCCUGCCUUGUUCUCCAAAUACACGGCAGCCAUUUCCUGUGGGAUCCAGUGAGAAGCUUGGGCGAGGGAGAUGUGAGGGAAGCCAAGCUAGGCCUCUGAGCAGUAUACCGUGUCUUGGGAUCACAAGCUUACCUCAUUGACUAGCCAACUCCAGGGAACUGCCUCCUGCCAGCCAAGCUCACAAGAGGCUGAAACAUUUGAAGUAGAAAUUUACAUUUAAGCUAGGUGUAUUGGGAGGGAUUAUUCAUCUCCAGCAACCAGAAUAUCUGCACCUGUUACCCACAGCAGUCUUUUGUCUUUUAUUUUCAGUAGAGAGAAAUUUAUAUGCCAGGGGUAUUUAAAUGUCAGGCGUGGGUGUGCUGGCAAUGGCCUGGCUGGGGUUAGAAGUCUCAGUGGCCCAUCUGCAGUAGGCCUCGGGGAAGAGGCAAGAUUUAUGAGGUGAGAGCCUGGCUGGGCUGCCUGCGGUAUUUUCUGUCUUGUCAAUGCUGCGUCUCACUUUAAAUUGCGGCUGAAACAGAUAUUUUCCCCCUUGCCUAUUACACCUCUUAAAUUGUCUCUCCCUCUGCUGUUGUCUCUGUAAAGUGUUUUGCAUGAAACCCACACAGCAGCGUUGUUUUGCCCGGUGAGGUUUAACAGCAAAGGAAGGCGCAGACUAAAGUCCACGGAUGGCAGUGCUUUAAGUCUGGGUCACACGUGUCUGACAACACAUGCCUGUGUAUGUGUGGGCUUGUGGAGGUGUCUGUGGGUACGCCUGUGCACAUGUCAAUGUUUGCUAACAUAGACGUGUCUAGACACUUUGCUUUGGGUGUCCGUGCUGAAAUUAAGUGUAUGUUUGCAUACAAGCACACACACCCCCGUCAGUUUCUGUAUGCAUAAAAUGCAAAUGUGUACGUACAUGCAUGUCGUAUGUAUGACCCAUGCAUAUGUCCAGGUCCCCGCGUCUCUCUGUCCCUCUCCUUCUUCUUGCUUCUCAGGUUAGCAUCUCUCUAACCCCACCCAAGAGCUUUGGUCACGUUUUUGGUGGUGGUUUUCAAGGACCACUGGAAAUACUGAUUCAGCCAGACCUAACCGCGGCCACAGCUCUCCGGUUUGGUCCAGCCAGUCCCAUCCCCCAGCACGAAGCAGCGGAACCACCGUGGCUGGUCUGAGCUCUGAGCAUCCCUGGCUACCAACAACCUGAAAAUCCCCGGCCGGUGCUGAGAAGUGACAGGGUCGCCCAACGAUGGGCAAAGCCUUCCAGACCAACCUGGUCUCCUGGCCCUUCCGGGAGAGACCGAAACACAGAGCGGCUCAAGGCGGAGGUGGGCGGUGGAGGGGGCGUCUCGGUCGCACGGAGUCCAGCAAAUGCUGGGCAGAAACCAAUGGGUGACUGUGGCCCAACGGUGAUCCCUCGGAGGCAGCCAAUGACCUCGCUUCGCUCUGCACCCCGCCCUUGCCACAGCGCGCAGCUGGACCGUUGGAACCAGCAGGAUGGAGGAGCGCAGCGCCAGUACUGGGAGCGGGGGGCGUGGCCUGGACAAGCACCCACCCAUCCCUCCAUGGUAGGCUCCCUAUUGGCUAUACUGCGGCACCGCGGCGGGCGGAGAGGCGGGGCGCGGGGCGCGCAUGUGGGCGUGGCCUGAGGGCGUGGC
rnacentral:lncRNA from 1 species